CCUACGGGCGGCAGCAGUGAGGAAUAUUGGUCAAUGGCCGGAAGGCUGAACCAGCCAAGCCGCGUGAAGGACGACGGUGCCAAGCAUUGUAAACUUCUUUUGUCAAGGGACAAAAUCAGUCUCGAGAGCCUGAACGAGGGUACUUGAAGAAAAAGCAUCGGCUAACUCCGUGCCAGCAGCCGCGGUAAUACGGAGGAUGCGAGCGUUAUCCGGAUUUAUUGGGUUUAAAGGGUGCGUAGGCGGACUGUUAAGUCAGCGGUAAAAGCCCGGGGCUCAACCCCGGAGAGCCGUUGAAACUGGCGGUCUUGAGAUGUCGAGAGGUAUGCGGAAUGCGCAGUGUAGCGGUGAAAUGCUUAGAUAUUGCGCAGAACUCCGAUUGCGAAGGCAGCAUACCGGCGGCGAUCUGACGCUGAGGCACGAAAGCGUGGGUAUCGAACAGGAUUAGAUACCCUGGUAGUC
rnacentral:rRNA from 1 species